rnacentral:tRNA from 1 species
GCGACGUGGCCAAGUGGUUAAGGCAGGGGUCUGCAAAACCCUGAUCGUGGGUUCGAUUCCCACCGUCGC